UUUGUUGUAGAGCUCUUGUGGCUAGCGAGUCAAAUGCAGUAUAUCUGCCAAUCUCCAUUAUAUCAAAAAGAGAGAGCAACAUGUGACCAUAUGAUAUGCGAUCGUGCAAUAUCAACUAACUCUUUAUAAUAUAAACAGGGCAGAAAAAUGAAUAUAUAAAAUGUAAACAACUCAUGAAGAUACCCUUCAUAAAUAAUAAAGCAGGAUUCAAUAGAGUCUCUGAAAGUCUCUGCUGGUCAUAAAUCAAGAUAUAAUAGCAAAAAGUCAGUCGUCGAAAAUUAAGUAGAGAGAUGAAUAAUAUAGCGUUCCAACGAUGCUGAAGUGGUUGAUACACUGUCAAGAUGUACAGUGUUUCCGGAUAUUUUCCACUGUUUCGUAAUUACUUCUUCAGCACAGUAAUGGGUAGUAGAAAUAUUUCCAUGGACUGCAAAAAAUGAAUGAAACAAUAUGCCUAGUAUAUGUACUAAACAAAAGAAGCUGGGAUACAAAAUAAUGCAAUGCAAAUACAAAAAUAAAAUGGACACAUACCCCAUCUAUCAUGAGAAUAAAUGCAUACUUAGGAACAGUGCUCAUAAUUCAGUGUAGUCACUGCUAAAACACUGGAAGCUAACGAAAAGCUAUAAAGCUGUCUCCAGGUGGUGCUAGUAACAGCAAAAUGAAAUAAAAUUUAAAGGUACAGAGCUGGGAAACGCCCAAAGCUGAGGUGUCAGAUAAAGCAAUUCAAAUCCAAUUCAGAAUUUUGCCCCCCUGGAUAUAUGGUUUUAAACAUAAAAAUGAAACGGGACUCUUGCUGUCGUAACUGUUUCUCAUAAUCUUUUCUAAUGCUGAUGGGCUUCUGAUUCGCCCACAGUACCGUAAAUAACAAGUCUGUAUCUGAAUGGUUAUGAGAGAGAAAAUGUUCUACAAGGGGUGCCUCCCUGUUGGCUGGGUGUCAGGUACUGGGCAGAGGAGGAAUGGUGGAGACCGCCUCCCCAGCAUGACCCUUCCAGAGAAGAAGACAGUUCAGAAUUACAACGGUGGUUUGCGGGAAUUCACAGCUCAGAGGCAGAUGAGCAGAAAAGUUGGGAAUCGUGGGAGAGCCCAGAACAACACCCGGCUGACCCAUUGUCAUUGGAAAGCAUUCCAGACCCUCCAUCUCCCAGAACCCGGGGAGCCUUAAAAGUAGGAGAGCAAGGAGCUCAAAGACAGAGGACAUGUAGCAGCACCUGUAGAAGUGAUGAAUGAGGAAGUGGGAGAGAAGGGGGUGGAGAUUCACUCGGGACAACAACAUUAUUCAAGAGGCUGAGUUCUAUAGCCUCUCUCUGUAAAGAUUGAAAU